AUGCCAUUCAGAGAGAAUGUGGAAGAGGCGAGGGUUGAGAUCAACCGCUGGUUCGAGGACAAGACGGGCGGCUUCAUCAAAGACCUCAUGCCAGAAGGCCACCUCAACGCCACUUUGACGGCCCUUGUCAUCGGCAAUGCGCUCUACAUGAGGGGCAGAUGGCUAGACCCGUUCGACCCUGAGUACACCCAGGACGGCGACUUCUUCUUUGCCGACGCCGACGAGAGCCGUGUGCACGUGCCGUUCAUGACGAGCACCAACGACCAGUGCAUCAGCUGCCAUCCCGGCUUCAAAGUCCUGCAGCUACACUACGACUACGAGAGCAAAGGCGAUGGCGGCGGCGGCAACCACCGGUUCAGCAUGCACAUCUACCUCCCCGACGAGCGCGACGGCCUGCAGGCCGUGCUGCGCGAGAUCAGCUCCUCCGGCACUGCCGUGUUCGUGGCCCGCAGCGUCCCGGCGGCACGAGGCGUCGAGGUGGGGAACCUCACGAUCCCAAAGUUCAAGGUGUCAUCAAAGAUGGACGCGGGGGAUGUGCUGCAAGGUCUUGGCCUGGAGCUGCCGUUCCGCUUCACGCACGACUGGUCGGAGAUGAUUGAGUUGGCGGAGCCUCUAAAGGUGCAGAAUGUGCUCCACGAGUGCGUCGUGGAGGUGGACGAGGAUGGAACCAUGGCCGCUGCGGCCACUGAAGCUGACUGUGAUGUUUUUUUUUUUUUUGAGAAAGACUGUGAUGUUGGGUUUUCUCUGUACCGAGAGGAACCGGCUCGCGUGGACUUCGCGGCGGAUCAUCCGUUCCUGUUCCUCAUCAGGGAGGACAGGAGCGGCAUUCUGCUUUGA
rnacentral:rRNA from 1 species